CCUACGGGAGGCUGCAGUGGGGAAUAUUGGACAAUGGGGGGAACCCUGAUCCAGCCAUGCCGCGUGUGUGAAGAAGGCCCUCGGGUUGUAAAGCACUUCCAGUGAGGAAGAACGCCUGGUGGUUAAUACCCAUCAGGAAAGACAUCACUCACAGAAGAAGCACCGGCUAACUCCGUGCCAGCAGCCGCGGUAAUACGGAGGGUGCGAGCGUUAAUCGGAAUUACUGGGCGUAAAGCGCGCGUAGGUGGCUUGAUAAGCCGGUUGUGAAAGCCCCGGGCUCAACCUGGGAACGGCAUCCGGAACUGUCAAGCUAGAGUGCAGGAGAGGAAGGUAGAAUUCCCGGUGUAGCGGUGAAAUGCGUAGAGAUCGGGAGGAAUACCAGUGGCGAAGGCGGCCUUCUGGACUGACACUGACACUGAGGUGCGAAAGCGUGGGUAGCAAACAGGAUUAGAUACCCGUGUAGUC
rnacentral:rRNA from 1 species